CUUUACGUUUCUGUCACUACUGCUUAAUGGCGUGCACGCCCGCCAAGGUAGCGCGGGAAAUGCUACAGGUGGAACCUGAAGCUCAAGCAAGAAGCCACCUUCCGCCUGUUUUGGUAAAUGAAAAACACUGAACCAGGGACUGGAAGUGACGGAGCCCAGAAAAGGAAAAUAGCCAGUGAACAGGGAUGCAUUCAUAUUUUUCUCCAUGUGGAUGAAACAUCUUUUUCCAUCAUCCUUCAGCCUUUCAUCUGGCGUAGUUUGAUGCAGCAACAUAAAGUAGGAGACCCAAACAAGCAAACGUGGAGCUGCUGCUGCUGUUUUUCUUUGCGCCAACACGAUAAAGAAACCACAGAUGAAGACCCAGGUGUUUAUUCUCACUCUACUCAACAAUCCGAUGGAAAAUCUCUGUUUACAUGCUCACUACAAGAAAUCUGAUCCAAAAUGAUGCACAUGCAAGAGAACCAUCAGGACCGGCUCGCCUUUUGGUGAGCGGAGGAUUCCAUCAUCUCCGUCCAGAGUCUGCAUGUCAGUAAAGUCAGCAUUUCCCACG